GACAGAGGAGCCAAGCGUUGUCCGGAUUGACUGGGCGUAAAGCGCACGCAGGCGGGUGCGCGCGUGGGGGGUGAAACCUGGCCGCUUAACGGCCAGCGGCCAUCCCAUACGGCGCGCCUGGAGCCUUGCAGAGGGCGGUGGAAUUGCCGGUGUAGUGGUGAAAUGCGUAGAUAUCGGGAGGAACACCAGUGGCGAAGGCGACUACCUGGCCUGUUCUUGACGCUGAGGCGCGAAAGCUAGGGGAGCAAACGGG
rnacentral:rRNA from 1 species